rnacentral:rRNA from 1 species
UACGUAGGGAGCAAGCGUUGUUCGGAGUUACUGGGCGUAAAGGGUGUGUAGGCGGUCUUCUAAGUUUGGUGUGAAAUCUCCCGGCUCAACUGGGAGGGUGCGCCGAAAACUGGGAGGCUAGAGUACUGGAUGGGAGAGUGGAAUUCCUGGUGUAGCGGUGAAAUGCGUAGAUAUCAGGAGGAACACCUGUGGUGUAGACGGCUCUCUGGACAGUAACUGACGCUGAGACACGAAAGCGUGGGUAGCAAACAGG